rnacentral:rRNA from 1 species
UGGGGAAUAUUGGACAAUGGGCGAAAGCCUGAUCCAGCCAUGCCGCGUGUGUGAAGAAGGUCUUCGGAUUGUAAAGCACUUUAAGUUGGGAGGAAGGGCAGUAAGCGAAUACCUUGCUGUUUUGACGUUACCGACAGAAUAAGCACCGGCUAACUCUGUGCCAGCAGCCGCGGUAAUACAGAGGGUGCAAGCGUUAAUCGGAAUUACUGGGCGUAAAGCGCGCGUAGGUGGUUCGUUAAGUUGAAUGUGAAAGCCCCGGGCUCAACCUGGGAACUGCAUCCAAAACUGGCGAGCUAGAGUAGGGCAGAGGGUGGUGGAAUUUCCUGUGUAGCGGAGAAAUGCGUAGAUAUAGGAAUGAACACCAGUGGCGAAGGCGACCACCUGGGCUCAUACUGACACUGAGGUGCGAAAGCGUGGGGAGCAAACAGG